GUCGCCCCCCACCGUGCCACCUGCCCUAACCAUCCCGCCGCCGCCAAACGCCCUCCACCUGGAGCACUGUUGCCGUCGCCCCCAACCACUCCAGAGCGGCGGCUCCAAGCACCGAAUUGACCGCAGCCGCCAACCACUCCAGAUCCAAGCCGGCGGCCGCCCUCCACCCAGAACGCUGCCGCCGUCCCCCCUCCCCAACCACUCCAGAGCGGCGCCACCGAGCCGCCACUCCAGACCGCAAGCGGUGACCACCCUCCUCCGCCGAAUGUCUUCCCUCACCACCACCCAUCUCGGGAGCUUCCUCCCCGACCAUGCCUCCUCUCCACAAGCUUCAUCGAAGAACCAAGCGGGGACCCCUCAUCUACGUCGUCUACCCCAGGCAGGGGAGCAUCAAUCCUCCUCGCGAGCAGCUCUGCCUUUCCCUGGAUAGCGCUGACUCCUCUAUUUCUUGCUCCAACCGCGAGAAUUUGACAGGGUUACUAAAAUGCGGUCUCUACCUUGUGUUGGACAAACUUGAACUCCAGUUCUACCGGAGAUUAGUGAAGAAAAUCCAUAUCAUCCAGAGGGAGAGGGAACCAUCUAAGGCGCAUCAAAUCAAGAUAGAGUUCUCUGCAACCAUUUUAGUCGAGUAGCAGUUUUGCGAAAGGUUUCCCAAAGAUGCACUACUUGAUGGAGAUUUGGAUGAUCUACAAGCUGCUGAAGGUUUGCAAGAUGUACUAUUAAGUUGGUGGAGUGAUAAUAUAAUGCGCCUUGUUUGUUGAACCUGGAGACAUUGGGAAGUUCAGCUCAUUUUGGUGGCCGUUUUGGCACAUAGGCCACUAUAUGGCCAUUUUGGUUGCGUGGCACAUUUAGAAACAUAUACACGUCUCCCUUUGUGGAACUACUUCAUUUUGGUUGUGUGGCACAUCUAUCUAGAAACAUUUAUGUACUCCUUUUGUGGCACAAUCUGCUUAUAUAUGUUCUUAUAUUUAUGGAAUGAAGUUUAAGGUUUCCGAUGAGGCCUA